CAGGCGUCCAAGUUCCAAAUGCAGAAGGGGAAGAAGAGGAUGUAGAAGAGCUCGUUGCCGAGCUCCGUGCCCAGACUGAAGAGAUAGUAGAGGAAGCGGCUGCGGGUGGAGAACUCCUGGCUGCCGUCCUCCUCCGUGUAUUGAGAACAUUCACAACACCACCAAGAGCCUCCUUCAUUCAAUCUGCUGAAAACGCCAAUGAGCCACCUCCCUCAGUCUUCCAUCUUCAGAAUAUUAAGUGCUACCAGUCCUGGGAAGGUUCUUCAGAAAAGGCCAGGUGUGCUCAACACACAUGGUGAUACUCAGAACAACUUGCUUGCCUUACUGCUGCACCCUGUUCAAGAUCUUCAGAAGUGCAGCAGCCAGAAUCUCAGUGGACAAUCUCCAUGACCACUUCCUGCAUGUCAAGACAUCCUGCAUGGCUGUAGAACCUGCAUGCUGUGCUGCACGUGUUUCUGAAUCCAGACCUGGCAUUUGACACCUAUGCCCUGCUUUUCCAGCUUCUGCUAUGGUCACCUGAAUACAGUGUUUCUUGGCAGGUUCCUCUCACCCAGCUUCUGAAAAAUAGAGCCAAAACUGAGAUGCUAAACUGGUGGUGGGUACAGUGUGCUUGGAAGGUACCAGUCUACCUUGGAGCAUGAGGGUAAGUGGAUAGGACCGGUGUGAUCUUGACCGCAGCCUUGUCACAGCACUCUUACAAAUAUACUGCAGUACAAGUGCUGCAGCAGUGACAGUCUAAGGAUAGAAGAGGUGAUAUUUUUUUAUUAGAAUGGCUAAUGUAAGUGAAAAAAGUGGUUAAACUUCUGGGUUUAAGAGGAUUCUGAGCCCAAAACCUUUGCCUGAGUUUAGCGAUGAGAUCUGGCUAAGGUCUAAAGGUCCGUAAGACCAUGACCCAGUCUUAUCAGGAGCCUAACAGACUCAUAAAACAGUCUGCUAAGCCCACAAAGCCCAUCAGGAAUGCAAGGCUUCAAGUGGGAUCCAAAAAGGCACUUUAGCAGCUGAUGCAAGACUUGAACAUGUUGGAGGUUCCUCAAGUAGAAAUAAGUGAUCCAAGAGACUCGACUCAGCUGGUUUUGAGGGCUGGGGGAGCUCAGCUUUGAAUUUUGAUUUUCAGGGUGGAACCUGAAGUUACAUCUCUUUGUGUAACAAACUUACUUUGUGCCUUAAGAAGAAGCUGGGGCACUUUGGAAGAUGGGAAAAUGUAGACUGGAAACCUUUUUUCACAUACAGUGCCAGCAUUAUAAAUGCAGCAGAAUGAGCCCUGCUCAGUUCAGAUUGCAGGUGCCUGUCUUCAGGAGACACCUUGCAUGAGUGGAGGCCAGUGUCUUUGCUCUGAAAGAUUUUGGGGUUCACAUCAAACUGUCAGUUCAACAUUAAGAUAGCUACCCCGUUGAAACACCCCACUUACGCAAUGCUGUACAGGAAGAUGUAAGUGUAUGGUGCCGGCUCAUGGAUGCUGCUGUAAGGUUCAGUCACUAAUUUGUCAGUGUAGAAGUCUUCAGGGGAGAAAGGGAACUGAAAAGGUUAGGAUAUUUACUUUGAGAAGUGUAGGUUUACUAAUUAUGAACCUAUUCCAGGAGAUUUACUACAGAUUUGCUGUGACUUCAGUGUUAUUAACCUGUUUUUCAAUUUUGGAGCUCUGCUGCUGUCCUUAAAUUAGCCCAUGACCUAACAAAAGUAUUUAAGCAUGUACAGCUUUAGUCAUCUAUGUGUUUCCACUGACUUCAGCAGGAACGAUCAGGUGUUAAAGGCAGCAUCAAUACCUAAGUGGUCUGCUGGAUUGCCAUCUUAUGCGCUGGGGACAAUGUCAUACAUAAUGUUUAGAUUAAAUGGGAGAAGAGGGAGCAUUUCUAACAUGAUUACAGUCAGAUUUCCUUCCAUGUUUUGCAGAGGAAAACAGUAUGCAAAUGCUGCACGUGCCUACGUGGAUUCAACCUUUCUUUCCUCUUUUUUUGAUGUCUCCAGUUCUGACAAACAAGUUGCCUGUGACUGCUGAAGAGAAAUUCUCCCUGAGGUUUUGGGCCAUGGGGAGAGGCACUGUGGAUUUAGGCAGAGCCCUGUUUGCCUGCUUCUGGCUACACUUUCCCACUCUAACACUCUUCCUC